AGCGAACGCUGGCGGCAGGCCUAACACAUGCAAGUCGAACGAAGCCUUCGGGCUUAGUGGCGGACGGGUGAGUAACACGUGGGAACGUACCUUUUGGUUCGGAAUAACGCAGAGAAAUUUGCGCUAAUACCGAAUGAGCCCUUCGGGGGAAAGAUUUAUCGCCGAAAGAUCGGCCCGCGUUGGAUUAGGUAGUUGGUGUGGUAAAGGCGCACCAAGCCUACGAUCCAUAGCUGGUCCGAGAGGAUGAUCAGCCACACUGGGACUGAGACACGGCCCAGACUCCUACGGGAGGCAGCAGUGGGGAAUCUUGCGCAAUGGGCGAAAGCCUGACGCAGCCAUGCCGCGUGAAUGAUGAAGGUCUUAGGAUUGUAAAAUUCUUUUACCAGGGACGAUAAUGACGGUGCCUGGAGAAAAAGCCCCGGCUAACUUCGUGCCAGCCGCCGCCGUAACAC
rnacentral:rRNA from 1 species